GGUUGGAGACAAGGAGCAGCAGGAGCAGGAAGAGUGGCUCUCUGCAAGGGAAUGCUCUGCCCUUCUGCUGGAGCCCUGGAGCCUGCAGAGAUGGCCCGGGGCAACUGAAGGAGGUUCAGGGCCUGAUCUCCCGUCUGCAAAGCCACCUGGCGGAGAUCCCUGACCCUCCAGCUGAGGUGUGCAAACCAGCACCUGCCAGAGCCCACCAGCCGUGCACGCAGAAUGUGGAAGACACUGCUCCUGCCACCUUGUCCCCACUCGCUGCCCUGGCUCCUCUGGCUGAGCAUCCUCUGCCUGUGGCCUCCACCCUGUCACCAGGCUCAACAACCUCUGUGGUUUCUGUUAGUUCAUACUGAACCCUGAGUGCCUCUCAGCCACCAGAGCCUUUGCUCCCCCUUGACACCCUCUCAACCCAGCCACUUGUGCUUCCUCCUCCCCCAUCACGACCCCCUGACCCUGUGGCCUCCCACCUGCCUCCAGCAGACUCCAGCCGGUCUACUUCUCCGUGUCACACAGUGGCACUCCCGCUGGGCUCCAUCCCACAGAGCCUGUCUCCACACAACUGCUGGUUGACUUCUCCCAUCCCAGCAACCUCAACCCUUAGUCACUCAAGCUGUCCCAUCUCAGCUCUCUUCUGGUGGCAGGUGAUUGCCAAGGCUUUGUGCUUCCCCACCUCAUCACAGGGUCAAUCCCAGGAAGAGGGUCUUUCCCACUGCCCACCAGAGGCCUUGUUUUCAGGAGACCCCACACACAGGCACAUGGAGGCUGGUGGCCCCUCUUUGGUCGACCCCAAUGCCCAGAUGCUAUUGGAGAUACUAAUCACCAAGAGAGCAGGACAGAUUUGGAACGACAAACAAAAGAAGGAAUCAGACUAUCACCUCGAUUCUCUGAAGAAUAGAUUCAAGUCCUCAGGUGAUGAGCAGGACACCAGAACCCCGCAACCCUUCUGGACCAUGAAAGACAAACCAGGACAGCUGCCUGGUCCUCAGCAGCUCUCUGAUCCCAAGGUGUUGCAGGGCCAUUUACAGGAGAAACACAGCCAGCUCUUCUGGGGCCUUCCCUUUCUGCACAGUGAGUCCCUGGUGGCUACAAUUAGGGUCUCUGGUUCCCCACUGGAGUUUCGCUCUGUUUUAUUCAAUGAACUUUCUGAAGGCUUUCCAGUAAAAAUUCAGACUCAACUAUCUCCACAAAGUUUUCACACCCAGUUCUGGUCCCCCCAUGUGGCCCAACCCCACCCUCUGACUCAAGCCUUGCUGCUGUCCCAGCCCUCACCUCUUGCUCAGACCCACAGCCAGCCUCACACCUCAUCCUGUCUCCCCAUCCCAC